GUCCUUACCUGUCAGGGGACUUGCCAUAAUCACGAAGGUGGUUUUCCAGGGUGUGGUUCAUCCAGCACACUCCAGAUGUGCUAACCCCUGUGAUUUCCCCAAAUGCAGAAAACUCGACUGCAUAAUUUGUGGUAGUGGGGGACUGAGUUCACGCUCUCCCUAG